rnacentral:rRNA from 1 species
UCGGGAAUUUUGGGCAAUGGGCGAAAGCCUGACCCAGCAACGCCGCGUGAAGGAUGAAAUCUUUCGGGAUGUAAACUUCGGAAGAAUAGGAAGAAUAAAAUGACGGUACUAUUUUUAAGGUCCGGCUAACUACGUGCCAGCAGCCGCGGUAAUACGUAGGGACCAAGCGUUGUUCGGAUUUACUGGGCGUAAAGGGCGCGUAGGCGGCGUAAUAAGUCACUUGUGAAAUCUCCGGGCUUAACUCGGAGCGGCCAAGUGAUACUGUUAGGCUAGAGUGCAGAAAGGGCAAUCGGAAUUCUUGGUGUAGCGGUGAAAUGCGUAGAUAUCAAGAGGAACACCUGAGGCGAAGGCGGGUUGCUAGGCUGACACUGACGCUGAGGCGCGAAAGCUAGGGUAGCAAACGGGAUUAGAUACCCACGUAGUCCCUGAGCGGGCUGGCAAGGCGCAU